rnacentral:tRNA from 1 species
AUAGGUCUAGCUCAGUGGUAGAGCGCAUGCUUAGCAUGCAUGAGGUCCUGAGUUCAAUCCCUAGUACCUCCA